rnacentral:lncRNA from 1 species
AAACAGUUGGUCUCCUGGUAGGGAGGGUGAGUCACAGACACCCGAGUCUCUCUCGCUUUGUCGUCAAGCCAGAGGGGAGGGGCCAGGCCGCCGCCCGGAGCAGGCCCAGCGGCUCGCCGGCGUGGUGGUCGCGUGACGCCAAUUGGAGAGGGGGCGGAGUGGAGCCGCCACCCACGCCCGCAAGGUGGGCAGACCUGCGACCCAGUGGUACACGGGCGUGGUAGGAGGGGCAGGGCAGAGCCGCCGCCCACGCCUGCAAGGUAAGCAGACCUGCGACAGACUGGCAGGUCAGGCCCAGCGGCCUGCCAGCGUGGUAUACACGUCACCCCAACUGGAGUAGGGGCAGAGCAGAGCCUUCGCCCGUGCCCGGAUCAGGCCCCGCCGGUGUGGUGGUCACGUGACCCCAAUUGGAGUGGGGGUGGAGUGGAACUGCCACCCGUGCCUGCAGGGUGGGCAGACCUGCGACCAACCUGCAGAUUAGGCCCAGUGUUCCGCGGGCGUGGUAGGAGGUGCAGGGCAGAGCCGCCGCCCGCACCUGCAAGGUAGGCAGACCUGCGACAGACCGGCGGAUCAGGCCCAGCGGCCUGCCGGUGUGGUACACACGUCACCCCAAUUGGAGUAGGGUCAGAGCAGAGUCGCCGCCCGUGCCAGGAACGGGCCCAGCGACCUGCCGGCGUGGUAGUCACGACACCCCAAUUGGAGUAGGGGCAGGGCAGAGCAGAGCCGCCACCCGUGCCCGAAAGGUGGGCAGACCUGCGACCGACCAGCGGGACAGGCCCAGUGGCCUGCCGGUGCGACAGACAUGUCACCCCAUUUGGAGUAGGGGCAGAGCAGAGCCGCCGCCCGUGCCCGCAAGGUAGGCAGACCUGCGACUGACCGGUGGAACAGGCCCAGCCGCCGGCCGGGGUGGUAGGCACGUCACCCCAAUUGGAGUAGGAGCAGAACAGAGCCUUCGCCCGCGCCCGGAACAGGCCCAGCGGUCCGCGGGUGUGGUAGACAAGUCACACCAAUUGGAGGGGGCGCAGAGCAGAGCCGCCGCCCGCACCUGCAGGGUAGGCAGACCUGCAACCGACCGGUGGAUCAGGCCCGGUGGCCUGCCGGCGUGGUACACUCGUCACCCCAAUUGGAGUAGGGGCAGAGCAGAUGACAUGAUUGUAUACCUAGCAGACCCAAAAGGGUCUACAAAGAAACUAUUAGAGCUAAUAAAUGAAUUCAGCAAAGUGGCAGGCUAUAAAAUCAACACGCAUAAAUCAAAG